GUGGGGACGGAACGCCUGGGAGGCCCUGUGGGUGCCGUGCCGAGCCGCGGAGGGGUGGGGACUACGGAGCUUGCCUCCGAGCCCGGGGAGAGAAGGCAGGCAGAGCCCUUUCCCCAAGACCAGAGACCAGCUCCCCACGCCCUUCCUAUCCAAUAAUACUUUUCUUGCUAAGUCACCGCGGGAGGAGGGCGAUCCCCUGCCGACAGGGCCGCGGGGAAGAGUCGCGACGGUCCCGGCGGCCCCCGAACCCGGGCCUGAAGGACGCAAACCCUCGGGCCGCUGUUCAAUCGCUCCCUCACUCGCUAUCUCGGCCGUCGGACUCCGCCGCCGCCCCGCCGCUCCAGCUCCGUCUGUCACAGGAGCUGCCCCAGCGCCCUGACGUCACCGCGCCGCCGCCGCCCCAGACCCGCCAGGAAGAGGGAGGGGAGCGGAGGAGGGGCUGCGGCGCAUGCGCGGGCGCGGCUGGGCCCCUGAGUCGCCGUCUUCGUCCUGGCGAGCGGGCGAUCGCGGCCAGUGCUACUUGGCGGUACGGAGUGGCCGGUGGGCGAGCGUGCGCACGAGGCCCUGCUUUUCACGUCCCUCGUGCCGCUAUAACCUUGGAAGAGCCCCUUUUUUCCUCGACUCUGUUGUGUCCCCUCACGAACUCUGGUCCCACUCACCUAACCGCCCCGCUUUUGCCCCACUGCAUGCUGCGCUCUCUCCGCUUCCCCGGCGGACAGCGGGGACCAGUCGGCGCCCCUGCAUCCCGGCCCCGGAUUGUGGGUGAUCAUCUCCUGGAAGCAAGAAGUCAUGGAGGAGAACUCUUCUGCAGGAUAGGAGGAGAAAAAGGGUCUCUGUAUGUAGCCAAGUUGGCCUCAAACUCACCAGGAUUCUUCUGCCUCAGCCUCCCAAGUGACGGGAUUACAGGUUCUUGAGUGCUGGGAUUAACAGGCAUGUGCCACCGUGUCCAGCCUAUGAUGAACAUUUCUGAACAUAAUUUUUUGUUACAUUGUGCUGCUUACUUCCUUAAGAUAGAACCCCAAAAUUAGGGUUACUAGGCCAAAAGAUAAGGUCUUUUAAUUUGUUUAUUUGUUUGUACUGGGAAUUGAACCCAGGGCCUUCACACUGUGCUACAUCUCUGGUUUGUUUGUUUGUUUAUUUAUUUAUUUAUUUACAUAUAAAUUUUGAAACUAGAUCUCACUAAGUUGAUAGACAGCUCAAGAUGAGCUCAAAUUUGCAAUCCUCCUGCCUCAACCUCUCAGAGGGCUGGGUUUAUAGUCAUGCUCAACCAUACCCAGCCCUUUCUUCUUUUUAAAUCGACUACCUCGGGUUUUUGGGUUUGUUUUGUUUUGGUUUUUUAUUUUUUUGAGACAGGGUCUCACUAUGUAGCCCAGGCUGGCCUCCAACUCAUGACGAUCCUCCUGCCUCAGCCUCCCAGGUGCUAGGAUUACAGGCAUGUACCACCAUACCCAGCUUAUCUCAGGUAUUUUGUCACAGUGAUGGAAAGCUGACUAACACAACUGUGAUGAAAUGGCACACCUGGAUUUGAGCAACAAUGAUACAGUAGAAGGAGGAUUUAUACUAUCUGGAUUUGAACAUCAAUGUAAUCUGAAUUUUGUUAUAAGGUGAAUGUAUUCUUACACUCUCUGGGCCAGUUGAAGCCAGAGCUGCAGGCAGUUCUAGCCCAUGAGAACUGCCAAUAUCAUAAAAUGGGCCACACAGGGAAACACUGCAGAGGUGCAGUGGCACAUGCUGAAGCAGAGGGAUUACAAAUUUAAGACCAGCCUAGUCAACUGAGACUCUCAAAAUACAUAAAAAGGGCUGACAAUGUAGCUCAGUGGUAGAGUGCUUACCUAGCAUGCACAAGACCUUCAGUUCAAUCCCCCUACUGGGGGGAGAAAAGUUAAAAAAAAAAACCAAACAAAUAAUCUCAUGGAUUGUACACUCUAGAUCUAGUUAUUCUGAAACUAUUUCCAUACUUUGUUCUUUAUAAGAUUUAGAAAUAUGAGCUACUAAAACAAAAAAGAAAAAGAAAAAGUAUGAGCUACUAAAUUUAACCCCACUCCCCUCCACUAGUUUUUUAGGUUUGUUUGUUUAUUUGUUUGGGGUUUUUUGAGACUAUGUCUUGCCCUGUAGUCCUGGAUGGCCUUGAACUUUCGACAGUCCUCCUGCCUCAGCCUCCAGAGUGCUGGGAUUACAGGCUUGCAUUUGGCUAGUUUUUCUUAAAGUAGUUUGAAUUUGACUUGCAAUAGAAAGAAUCUUGGCCUAUAUUUAGGCAUGGAAGUAGGAAAAGAUAUCAGAUAUUAGAAUAAAUUUAUAUAAAAUAGUAUUUUAGCUGGUCAUAGUGGUGCACAUCUUUAGUCCCUCCUACUGGAGAGCCAGAGGCAAGAUCACUUGAGAUCAAGAGUUUGAGAUCAGCCUAGGCAACAUAGUAAAACCUUAUUUCAGGAAAACAAACAGUCCCACAAGGUGGCAUACACCUGUAAUACCAGCACUCAAGAGGCUAAUGCAAGAGGGUCACUGCAAGUUUGAGCCCAGCGUGUGCUACAUAGUGAGUUUAAGGCCAGCCUGGACUACAUAACAAGACCCUGUCUCUAAAAACCAAAGGGGAUGGGGGAAAGAAAAACAAACAAAACAAAAUAAAGAAAUAAAAUAGCAUUAAAAAUAUGAACCACUGGCCAUGGUGGCAUAUGCCUGUAAUCCUAGCACUUGGGAGGUUGAGGCAGGAUUGUCAUGAGUUCAAGGUCAGCCUGGGUUACAUAAUGAGUUCACAGCCAGCCUGAACUAUAGAGUGAGACUCUAUCUCAAAAAUAAAUGAAUAAACCAAUACCAUGUAGAAGUAUAGUUUGAAAUUACUAAAUAUACUGUCAAAAAGCAAGCUAUAGAAUGGAAAGAAAUUUUUAUAUGCAAGUGAUAUGUAGGAUAUAUAAAAAAGUACAACAGCAAAUAAUUUAAUAACUUGAUUUGAAAAUGACCAAAAGAUUUCAGCCUUCCAAAAAUGAUACACAAAUGGCCAAGAAGUAUAUGAGAUAGGAAACAGGGACAUAGCUCUUUUACAAAUGGGAAGGGGACCGAGAGAUGAAGGAAAGGGUGUGGGGGGAAGGGGACAUAAAAAGAAUGAAGAAUUAAAAUGUGUUACAUACAUGUACCAACUUCCCAUGAUGAAUGUAAUCAUUAUGUACUGCAAACGUACUAAUAAAAAUUAAAAAUUUUAUAAAGAAGCAUAUGAAUAGAUAGAUAUCACUAAUCAGAAGAGAAAUGCAAAUUAAAACCAGAUGCUACUUCACACCCAUUAUGAUGGCUACUGUGGAAGGAAAAAGGAAAGAGGAAGGAAGGGAGAGGGGCAGGGAAGAAGAAAAGAGAUCUGUCUUGUGUUCCCUAUCAUGAAUGUAUCACCUUGUAUUUAACCAUUCCCUACUGAUAAAUUUUAAAUUGUUUUAGUUUUUUUUCUAUUAAAAAAUCUCAAUAAAUAUUAUCAUUCAAUGAA
rnacentral:lncRNA from 1 species